GAUGAACGCUGGCGGCGUGCCUAAUACAUGCAAGUCGAGCGAACGGACGAGAAACUUGCUUCUCUGAUGUUAGCGGCGGACGGGUGAGUAACACGUGGAUAACCUACCUAUAAGACUGGGAUAACUUCGGGAAACCGUAGCUAAUACCGGAUAAUAUUUUGAACCGCAUGGUUCAAAAGUGAAAGACGGUCUUGCUGUCACUUAUAGAUGGAUCCGCGCUGCAUUAGCUAGUUGGUAAGGUAACGGCUUACCAAGGCAACGAUGCAUAGCCGACCUGAGAGGGUGAUCCGCCACACUGGAACGGAGACACGGUCCAGACUCCUACGGGAGGCAGCAGUAGGGAAUCUUCCGCAAUGGGCGAAAGCCUGACGGAGCAACGCCGCGUGAGUGAUGAAGGUCUUCGGAUCGUAAAACUCUGUUAUUAGGGAAGAACAUAUGUGUAAGUAACUGUGCACAUCUUGACGGUACCUAAUCAGAAAGCCACGGCUAACUACGUG
rnacentral:rRNA from 1 species